rnacentral:rRNA from 1 species
UGGGGAAUAUUGCACAAUGGGCGCAAGCCUGAUGCAGCGACGCCGCGUGAGGGAUGACGGCCUUCGGGUUGUAAACCUCUUUCAGCAUCGACGAAGCGCAAGUGACGGUAGAUGCAGAAGAAGCACCGGCCAACUACGUGCCAGCAGCCGCGGUAAUACGUAGGGUGCGAGCGUUGUCCGGAAUUACUGGGCGUAAAGAGCUCGUAGGUGGUUUGUCGCGUUGUUCGUGAAAACCGGGGGCUUAACCCUCGGCGUGCGGGCGAUACGGGCAGACUGGAGUACUGCAGGGGAGACUGGAAUUCCUGGUGUAGCGGUGGAAUGCGCAGAUAUCAGGAGGAAAACCGGUGGCGAAGGCGGGUCUCUGGGCAGUAACUGACGCUGAGGAGCGAAAGCGUGGGGAGCGAACAGG